CCUACGGGCGGCUGCAGUGGGGAAUAUUGCACAAUGGGCGCAAGCCUGAUGCAGCCAUGCCGCGUGUGUGAAGAAGGCCUUCGGGUUGUAAAGCACUUUCAGCGGGGAGGAAGGCGGUGAGGUUAAUAACCUCAUCGAUUGACGUUACCCGCAGAAGAAGCAUCGGCUAACUCCGUGCCAGCAGCCGCGGUAAUACGGAGGGUGCAAGCGUUAAUCGGAAUCACUGGGCGUAAAGCGCACGCAGGCGGUCUGUCAAGUCGGAUGUGAAAUCCCCGGGCUCAACCUGGGAACUGCAUUCGAAACUGGCAGGCUAGAGUCUUGUAGGGGGGGGAUAGAAUUCCAGGUGUAGCGGUGAAAUGCGUAGAGAUCUGGAGGAAUACCGGUGGCGAAGGCGGCCCCCUGGACAAAGACUGACGCUCAGGUGCGAAAGCGUGGGGAGCAAACAGGAUUAGAUACCCGAGUAGUC
rnacentral:rRNA from 1 species